rnacentral:rRNA from 1 species
AACCAGCACCUCAAGUGGUCAGGAUGAUUAUUGGGCCUAAAGCAUCCGUAGCCGGCUCUGUAAGUUUUCGGUUAAAUCUGUACGCUCAACGUACAGGCUGCCGGGAAUACUGCAGAACUAGGGAGUGGGAGAGGUAGACGGUACUCGGUAGGAAGUGGUAAAAUGCUUUGAUCUAUCGAUGACCACCUGUGGCGAAGGCAGCUUUCUGGACCAAUACUGACGCUGAGGUACGAAAGCGUGGGUAGCAAACAGG